rnacentral:misc_RNA from 1 species
CAUUUUCACAACAACGAUGGCGUCGUCCUUAGAACCGUCUCCGUGCGGCUCGGGGCGGCGUUUCAUCAGCGGGCACGUCGCGGCUUCCUCUCAGGAAGUAAUCACGCGGGGUCGUCUGAAUCCUUAACUUUACGAGAACUCCCCAUACUCCUUCGGUGGGGUGACCUGCCGUUGGAACCAACAAAAAACUUUUUUUGCAUCUAGUAUUACCUGUUCUGAUACAAACAAUCGUUA